ACUCCUGCGGGAGGCAGCAGUGGGGAAUUUUGGACAAUGGGCGAAAGCCUGAUCCAGCCAUGCCGCGUGCAGGAUGAAGGCAUUCGGGUUGUAAACUGCUUUUGUACGGAACGAAACGGCCUUUUCUAAUAAAGAGGGCUAAUGACGGUACCGUAAGAAUAAGCACCGGCUAACUACGUGCCAGCAGCCGCGGUAAUACGUAGGGUGCAAGCGUUAAUCGGAAUUACUGGGCGUAAAGCGUGCGCAGGCGGUUAUGUAAGACAGUUGUGAAGUCCCCGGGCUCAACCUGGGAACUGCAUCUGUGACUGCAUAGCUAGAGUACGGUAGAGGGGGAUGGAAUUCCGCGUGUAGCAGUGAAAUGCGUAGAUAUGCGGAGGAACACCGAUGGCGAAGGCAAUCCCCUGGACCUGUACUGACGCUCAUGCACGAAAGCGUGGGGAGCAAACAGGAUUAGAUACCCGUGUAGUCCCAUG
rnacentral:rRNA from 1 species